rnacentral:rRNA from 1 species
AGCGAACGCUGGCGGCAGGCCUAACACAUGCAAGUCGAGCGCCCAGCAAUGGGAGCGGCAGACGGGUGAGUAACGCGUGGGGAUGUGCCCAAUGGUGCGGAAUAACCCAGGGAAACUUGGAUUAAUACCGCAUGUGCCCUUCGGGGGAAAGAUUUAUCGCCAUUGGAUCAACCCGCGUCUGAUUAGCUAGUUGGUGAGGUAAAGGCUCACCAAGGCGACGAUCAGUAGCUGGUCUGAGAGGAUGAUCAGCCACACUGGGACUGAGACACGGCCCAGAGUCCUACGGGAGGCAGCAGUGGGGAAUAUUGGACAAUGGGCGCAAGCCUGAUCCAGCCAUGCCGCGUGAGUGAUGAAGGCCUUAGGGUUGUAAAGCUCUUUCGCCGGUGAAGAUAAUGACGGUAACCGGAGAAGAAGCCCCGGCUAACUUCGUGCCAGCCGCCGCCGUAAAAC